AGACCCGAUUGCAACAUAGCCUGUAAUGUGGCGAACAACUUUCAUUGGCUUUCUUCUUCAAUCCACAUGCACAUUUCAGGGGAUAGACAAGAGCUUCAAGAGAAUACAGCGCAACUACUCACUGCCUCCACAUUACCAGGCACAGAACUUAGGACUUAGGAACUAUCUUAAAAGAUUCAUGCAUGAAAAUGAUGUUCUAACCAUUCUUAUAGACUUUUUGGAAGAGAAACUGUCUUAUAUCUUAUAUAAUCUUAAAAAGAUACACCCCACAAGCUGGUGUAUCUAUUGGAUUGAACUUCAUUAUUCAAUUUCAGCUCAGAGAUAAACAUUUAGUCGAAACAUGCACAUGUGGAGAGCCUAAAAUGGGCGUAGUAUGCCCAAAACUGAUAGCAUGUCCGAAAAUGUACUUUUAAAGAGCGAGCUAAACGCAGUUGUUAAUUUUUGUGCUGCCAAAGUGAUAAUCUAAUGGGUAACCUAGAUAAACGAUGGCCCGCAGAUCUGGGGCAACAAGUGUCAUCAGCCUCUCCAGCGUUUUGGGCCAAAAACAAUACGAACCACAGUGGAAAAUGCAAAGACCGGAUAGUAAUUGAAGCGACACCGAGAAUUAACCCCUGACUGGCAAGCACACACGGAGACCCACCAACAUGCAGACUUGUUUGUGUUUUUGGGCGUUCACCAGACCAGAAGUCUUACGAAAUGCGGGAAGAGAGAAUUGAGAAAAACACGAAAAGAUACGGAGGAAAAACCCUACAACCGACCAGAGCAGUAGCCAUUCCCCAACCCCCCCUCUCUCUAUGUUAAAUUGAUCAAUCAAUUCAAUGGCUUUUCGCGACCUUUUCAUUUAAUGAAGACCUGUAUUUUAUAUAACACUAGUACAGCCAAUAAACAAUGUAAUUUAACGAA